CCUGCUGAUCCGGACCCGGAGCCCUGGUUCUGGAUAGAGGAUCAAGGUGAUGAAUAUGUUUUUCAUAUUGUCACAGAUCCGUUCCUCGGUUACAAUGAGGAGAUAGAAGUAGAAGAAAUAGGGGUUGACUAUGAGGAGGUAGAAGUGGAAGGAUUAGUGGUGGACGAGUAUGAGCAGGCGGAGAUGUGGCCUUUUGAGGGGCUAGAUGAUGAUUUUGACGAAGUCAGGUCUUUUUCUGGUGAAGACGAUGACCACCUUCCCCCACAUCUUCGGUUCACCCAGAGGAUUCCCCCCGACUUCAGACUCCCGUGGAACCACAAAGAGCCAGAAGAGUCCCUGGAGUGCCAAGAAGACCGCGUCUCCAGGAGGAGGAGAAGAGAGGAAGACGAUGAAGAGGAGCUCCCCUGGAAGAGGCUUUGUCAUGACAGGGAUGUUUAAGAAGAGGAAUUCUGGCAGGAUCUGGCAGGUCUAGGGAUGCCUUAGGUAGCGUCUUGCACCGUGGCUUUUAUUUACCCUGCUGCUAGAUUGAGUUUUAUAGAUAUUAAGGAGUCUGGCAGGUCUAGGGAUGCCUUAGGUAGCGUCUUGCACCGUGGCUUUUAUUUACCCUGCUGCUAGAUUGAGUUUUAUAGAUAUUAAGGAGUCUGGCAGGUCUAGGGAUGCCUUAGGUAGCGUCUUGCACCGUGGCUUUUAUUUACCCCGCUGCUAGAUUUUGAUUUAAGUUUUAGAUGUUAGAAAUUUCGUUUAGCACUGACAUCUGAGCAGGCACUGAGGACAUGACAACCAUUUAAAAAAGGUGUGGAACAUGAGAGCUGGCUAAGGCAGACAUAAUCUAGCAUGCUCUACAUCUUAUGUCAGAGCUGGACAGUCUGCCAGCUAACAGAAGGCAACACAAUCAAAGGAUUGAUAAAAGAACCAGAUUUGAAAAGAAGAAACACAGCAUGGAGGCAAAUGAACAAAAAAUAAAAACACCAAAAGACAAAAAAUGAAUCCUGGUUGAAAACAGAUGAACCACGAGCAGGCAAACCAAUCCAAGGAGCAGCUGGACAUCACUGCUGAGGACAACGCAGGAGGUCAAAGAAAAAUCUUAAAGGUCUAAAAAUGGAGUUGAGGUCACCUAAAGUCUAUAGGCAGAGGGCCAAGGCUGUAGUGGAGACAGAUUAUCUAGAGUAGGACGAUGCUGCUGGGGACAAACUGGAUCUAGAAUGGAACAGUGGCACAGCCUGUGGUGGUCAUCAGUGGAACUGGUCUCUGGGAUGUUGGUGAGAAGGUAAAGAGACGAUGCUUGGAGGGACAAACUGAUUUCAGAGCAGUUUGAGACAGAGGACAGGACUGAUGUAGGGAUUUGGGUUGUGAGAGGAGCCGACUGUUAGAAACAGCUUUCAGAUGCGACUUGGUCUACUUCUAGAUGUUCCUCUGGUCAGUUAGUUUUCAGGCCUACUUUGAGGGAAAAGAACCCUCUGCAGAAAUAUUCUUCAUAUGAUCUAGGCCUGUUCUGACCGCAGUGGAUCUCUUCUGUGUUUUUUGAAUCCCAUGUUGGACCGAGCCUCUCCAAGCUUUGGGCCAUCAGAAGAUGCUGAUGAGAUCUGCAGCGACCGAACCAGAGGAGGAUCAUCUGGGCUGCUGACCUUUACAAAGAUUUUUCAUGUAUGUUCAGACACUGUGGACGUCCAAAAGCAGAACUUCUGUGAGGAACCGGGACAUCCAGGAUGGUGAGGAGCUUCCCAGUCCCCACCUGAGGACGGCACAGAGAAAGACUGGAACAGAAAACACAUGGAGGAAAGCAGGUUGAACAUGGGAGCAGUUUUCUAGCAGCCGGAUCACAUUGGAACAGAGUCCAUCCACACGUGUUUGGAGGAGCUGAAGAAGAGGACGGAGCACAGAGACCGCUAAGGAGGAGAAACAUGGCUCCUCUAUUUCUCUCCAACAUGCUGGAGUGCUCUCUUCCAUACUUUCUGAUAUUAAAACUUGAGUCAGACCUCAUCAGGCUGACUGUUGCUUUCCUAGAAAGAGCCACUAAUGGAGCUAGUUUAACUUGACCUUUUUUAACAUAGAAAGUAUUCAUGAAUCAGAAAUACUUUAAUAAUCCCAGAGGGAAAUUACUUU